GUGCUCGCUUUGGCAGCACAUAUACUAAAAUUGGAAUGAUACAGAGAAGAUUAGCACGGUCCCUGUGCAAGGAUGACAUGCAAAUUCAUGAAGUGUUCCAUAUUCUU